rnacentral:lncRNA from 1 species
AAAAAAAGAAAACCAACAACUCAUGAUUUGUUUUUGUACUGGAGACAAACAAAAGGCAUUCUACCAUUGAUCCAAGAACCAAUAAUGUAAAAAAUGCAGAGGUGGGCAGCUGAAAAUAUAGCCAGGAAUAGAAGCAGAGACAAAGAAAGAAAAACACAGCUAGUAAAACUAAAAGAAUAGCAAAAACUAUCACUAAAGGUGGCUUGUGAAGAAACACUAGUGCAUUUUGCAGAACUAAGCUAAAGGCAUUGACUUAAAGAGAGUUUUCCAACAUUCAAG